UACAGAGGGUGCAAGCGUUGUUCGGAAUUAUUGGGCGUAAAGGGUUCGUAGGUGGCUUGCUCAGUCAGACGUGAAAUCCCUCAGCUUAACUGGGGAACUGCGUCUGAUACUGGCGAGCUUGAGUGCAGGAGAGGAACGCGGAAUUCCAGGUGUAGCGGUGAAAUGCGUAGAUAUCUGGAGGAACACCGGUGGCGAAGGCGGCGUUCUGGACUGCAACUGACACUGAUGAACGAAAGCCAGGGGAGCAAACGGG
rnacentral:rRNA from 1 species